rnacentral:sRNA from 2 species
UCGCGUCAUGCGCCACAGGCAGGAGCGGGGGACCCAAGGUAGGCGCCGGAUCCGGAAGUUGACGCCGGAUCCGGCUCGGGGUGAAGCCGUGUCCCGUGAGGGGCGCGGCCGGGCAACUCAACCGGCCCGAACCCGACAGCUCACCUCGUAGGCGUCGGUGAGGGGAUCA